GUCGAGCGGUAAGGCCCUUCGGGGUACACGAGCGGCGAACGGGUGAGUAACACGUGAGCAACCUGCCCCCGACUCCGGGAUAAGCGGUGGAAACGCCGUCUAAUACCGGAUACGACCGGCCACCUCAUGGCGGCCGGUGGAAAGUUUUUCGGUUGGGGAUGGGCUCGCGGCCUAUCAGCUUGUUGGUGGGGUAAAGGCCUACCAAGGCGAUUACGGGUAGCCGGCCUGAGAGGGCGACCGGCCACACUGGGACUGAGACACGGCCCAGACUCCUGCGGGAGGCAGCAGUGGGGAAUAUUGCGCAAUGGGCGAAAGCCUGACGCAGCGACGCCGCGUGGGGGAUGACGGCCUUCGGGUUGUAAACCUCUUUUACCACCAACGCAGGCUCCCAGUUCUCUGGGGGUUGACGGUAGGUGGGGAAUAAGGACCGGCUAACUACGUGCCAGCAGCCGCGGUAAUACGUAGGGUCCGAGCGUUGUCCGGAAUUAUUGGGCGUAAAGAGCUCGUAGGCGGCGUGUCGCGUCUGCUGUGAAAGACCGGGGCUUAACCCCGGUUCUGCAGUGGAUACGGGCAUGCUAGAGGUAGGUAGGGGAGACUGGAAUUCCUGGUGUAGCGGUGAAAUGCGCAGAUAUCAGGAGGAACACCGGUGGCGAAGGCGGGUCUCUGGGCCUUACCUGACGCUGAGGAGCGAAAGCAUGGGGAGCGAACAGGAUUAGAUACCCUGGUAGUCCAUGCCGUAAACGUUGGGCGCUAGGUGUGGGGACUUUCCACGGUUUCCGCGCCGUAGCUAACGCAUUAAGCGCCCCGCCUG
rnacentral:rRNA from 1 species